rnacentral:tRNA from 1 species
GGUACUAUAGUUCAUCGGUUAGAAUGCUGCCCUGUCACGGCAGUGAGCCGGGUUCGAUUCCCGGUAGUACCGCCA